rnacentral:lncRNA from 1 species
GUGAGAAAGGUUUGGAAAGUCAUUGAUCUAAGUAAGAGAAGUCGAGAUCAAGCUCAAACAGCCAUGGCUAGCUGGGGCAAGGUCAGAGAGAACCACAGAACUCGAAUCAAAAAAAGUUUGGGCUAAGCUUCUUUAAGGUUUGACCUUGAAACCAUAGUAAUUGAGCAUGUAAGAGUCAUAAGAGGUAGGUACAGGCCUUUAAUGGCUUUGGAAGCCAUGAAUUUAGGUGAUUUUAGGGUUGAAGCGGAGGGUGGUGGCUAAGGUUUGAGAGGAGCUUUAAGAGAGAAUUGGGAGAAGGGGGAAUUCAAGAGCGGCUACUGACGGGAAAUGAU